rnacentral:rRNA from 1 species
UUCCGGUUGAUCCUGCCGGAGGUUACUGCUAUCGAGGUUCGACUAAGCCAUGCGAGUCGAAUGCCGCAAGGCAUGGCGUACUGCUCAGUAACACGUGGACAACCUACCCUUAGGUCGGGGAUAACCCCGGGAAACUGGGUAUAAUACCCGAUAGUCCUCGAAUGCUGGAAUGCACCGAGGACGAAAGCUCCGGUGCCUAAGGAUGGGUCUGCGGCCUAUCAGGUAGUAGUGGGUGUAGCGUACCUACUAGCCUACGACGGGUACGGGUUGUGAGAGCAAGAGCCCGGAGAUGGAUUCUGAGACACGAAUCCAGGCCCUACGGGGUGCAGCAGGCGCGAAAACUUUACAAUGCUGGCAACAGCGAUAAGGGAACCUCGAGUGCCAGGUUACAAAUCUGGCUGUCGAGAUGCCUAAAAAGCAUUUCAUAGCAAGGGCCGGGCAAGACCGGUGCCAGCCGCCGCGGUAACACCGGCGGCUCGAGUGGUAACCGUUAUUAUUGGGUCUAAAGGGUCUGUAGCCGGCCGGAUAAGUCUCUUGGGAAAUCUGGCAGCUCAACUGUCAGGCUAUCAGGAGAUACUGUCUGGCUCGAGGCCGGGAGAGGUGAGAGGUACUUCAGGGGUAGGGGUGAAAUCUUGUAAUCCUUGAAGGACCACCAGUGGCGAAGGCGUCUCACCAGAACGGACCUGACGGCAAGGGACGAAAGCUAGGGGCACGAACCGGAUUAGAUACCCGGGUAGUCCUAGCCGUAAACGAUACUCGCUAGGUGUCGGCCACGGUGCGACCGUGGUCGGUGCCGUAGGGAAGCCGUGAAGCGAGCCACCUGGGAAGUACGGCCGCAAGGCUGAAACUUAAAGGAAUUGGCGGGGGAGCACCACAACGGGUGGAGCUUGCGGUUUAAAUGGAUUCAACGCCGGA